rnacentral:rRNA from 1 species
GACGAACGCUGGCGGCGUGCUUAACACAUGCAAGUCGAACGGAAAGGCCCUGCUUUUGUGGGGUGCUCGAGUGGCGAACGGGUGAGUAACACGUGAGUAACCUGCCCUUGACUUUGGGAUAACUUCAGGAAACUGGGGCUAAUACCGGAUAGGAGCUCCUGCUGCAUGGGGGGGGUUGGAAAGUUUCGGCGGUUGGGGAUGGACUCGCGGCUUAUCAGCUGGUUGGUGGGGUAGUGGCUUACCAAGGCUUUGACGGGUAGCCGGCCUGAGAGGGUGACCGGCCACAUUGGGACUGAGAUACGGCCCAGACUCCUACGGGAGGCAGCAGUCGGGAAUAUUGCACAAUGGGCGGAAGCCUGAUGCAGCAACGCCGCGUGCGGGAUGACGGCCUUCGGGUUGUAAACCGAUUUCGCCUGUGACGAAGCGUGAGUGACGGUAAUGGGUAAAGAAGCACCGGCUAACUACGUG